GACGAACCGUGCGAACGUUGUUCGGAAUCACUGGGCUUAAAGGGCGCGUAGGCGGGUGACCAAGUCAGUGGUGAAAUCCUUCGGCUCAACCGGAGAAGUGCCUUUGAUACUGGUCGCCUAGAGGGAGAUAGGGGCAUGUGGAACUUCCAGUGGAGCGGUGAAAUGCGUUGAUAUUGGAAGGAACGCCGGUGGCGAAAGCGACGUGCUGGAUCUCUUCUGACGCUGAGGCGCGAAAGCUAGGGGAGCGAACGGG
rnacentral:misc_RNA from 1 species